UUUUUCUUGAAGGCAGUGUUAGGCAGGAUGGGGGCAAAACCAGCAGCAUGAUGCACAUACAUCAGAGGCAACAAGAAAUUACCAUUGGGAGGGAAAGAGAAGUAUAGGGUACAUUCUCAUGCACAAGUGUACUUGGGCAUCCAGGCGAAUUCUUCCUGACAACGACACUGGAGUGACCCAGGCUGACAUAAUUUGCCUGCCCUGGAACCAUCUAGAACUUGAGAUGAGUCUUCUGGCAACAUUGCUGCAUUCCUGCCCUAGAAAUCCUGGAGCCUUUAAUCCCACGGAUCAGCAGAAGCCUUCAUUGGAGAAUGGGCAUGGCACAAACCUGGAAAUGAAAAGGUAGCAGUGAUGGAAACUGAAACAGUACCCUUAUCAUUAGCUGUGAUGGUCUGCAUUCAAGAUGAGCUUGUCAGAAAAUUAUUACUUCUGCCAAGGGUGUCUGUAGUCCUGAGUCAAUGAAGGGCAGAUAUAAAAGGCAGCCCAAGUCCCUACUCCCUCAUCCACUUCUAUUGCCUCUUUCUGCCUGGAACUGGGUGAACUAUCAGCCCCACAACAUGUCCUGCUACAAUCCGUGCAUGCCCUGACAGCCCUGUGGCCCGACUCCACUGGCCAACAGCUGCAAUGAGCCCUGUAUCAGGCAGUGCCAGAGCUCCACCAUUGUCAUUGAGCCCUCUCCUGUGGUGGUGACCCUGCCUGGCCCCAUCCUCAGCUCCUUCCCUCAGAACACUGUUGUGGGCUCCUCCACCUCUGCUGCUGUUGGCAGAAUCCUCAGCUGUGAUGGAGUGCCCAUCAACUCUGGGUGCUGUGACCUUUCUGGCAUUACCAGUCGCUAUUAUGGCAGAAGGUACCUCCGCUGAUGAAUAUUCUGGGAAAACCCUUGGGAGACACCUUGAGGACUCAGAUCACAGUGCUGAGUAGAUGAUCGAUCUUGUGGAUGUUGUUUUCAGGAUAGAUGAAUGCAUUUGUUUUCCCCUUUUCUUUGUAUGCUUUGGUUCCCCUGGGUUGCAAUACAUCCCCAAGGCCAGCCUGGUGGGGACUAUAUGGUUUAUCCCUCACUGUAGGACAGGCAGACAAACGUCAUACAGGAAUGUCUUCACAGCCAAGAAGUGCAGACUCUGUUCUGUCCCCAGUGCUCCCUGGGCACUGCUGACCUCCAUUUGCAAUGACUUUCCCUCUUUUGAGUCAUUAAAGUUCUGCUGCAUUCAAA